GGCGCCGUGGCGGAGUGGAUACGCAAAGGACUGCAAAUCCUUGCAGCGCUGGUUCGAAUCCAGCGCGGGGCCU
rnacentral:tRNA from 1 species